rnacentral:rRNA from 1 species
UACGAAGGGGGCUAGCGUUGCUCGGAAUCACUGGGCGUAAAGCGCACGUAGGCGGGUUCUUAAGACAGGGGUGAAAUCCUGGAGCUCAACUCCAGAACUGCCUUUGAUACUGGGAAUCUCGAGUCCGGGAGAGGUGAGUGGAACUGCGAGUGUAGAGGUGAAAUUCGUAGAUAUUCGCAAGAACACCAGUGGCGAAGGCGGCUCACUGGCCCGGUACUGACGCUGAGGUGCGAAAGCGUGGGGAGCAAACAGG